rnacentral:lncRNA from 1 species
AUUUUUGGUAUCAUCAAGGCUUAAGAUACAAUGUAAGAUGUCUAACCCUAAAACUGUCUCUUUACCAGUGUCCCGUCCUGGUUCUGAAUGGUAAUUAGCCAAACAUCUGAACAUUCAAUUAACCCCAAACAUCUCGUAUUAAUAGAUCACAAAUUAAUUGAUCGUUUUUCCUCCCCAGAAACAAGCAUUUGUGCGGAAGUUAACAGCACUUUGCUGCAGCAGUACCUGGACCGGGGCAAGAUAAACCAAAGUGUUUGUGACUUCAGCGUCGAGGAAUACGCCUGCGCAUCGCUGCCGGACCUGGCUGCGGAGGACCUGGCAGCCGUGUUGACGUGCAAUAACUCCCGUGCGUCGCGGGCCCCCCUGGCCGUCUGGGAGCUCCUCUUCUCCGAGACCACCAAGGUUCUGGGGCCUGCUCUGGAUCUCCUGGCCCACAUGACCUUCCACCCCAGCUAUCCCGCCGCCUCCCUGAUCCUGGAGGCCAUCAACAACGUCCGGCUGCAAAUGCUCCCCCCGGAAAUCUAUGAGAGCGAGGCCUUCAUCCGCCUGUGGUUUGGCCAGAGACUCCGCCCCUUCCUGUCGGCCAUCUCCCCCGACACGUUGUCCUGUCUCAGCACCAAGAACCUCAGCUGCAGCACCUACCAGGCCCUUGUUCAGAUCUUCAGCCAACACCAGCCGUCCAUGGAGCUCGAGACCCAGGUCAAUGUCAACGUCUUUUUCAUCAGGCCCUUCCUCACCCGGAACCACACUGAAGAUCCAAACUGUUCAGAUAACACAACCAGUGGACAAUGGCUGCAGAACAACUUUGGGGGAUUCUCUGCGCUGAUCUCUGUCAGCGGCCUGCAGAUGCUGAAUGCAGACUUCGCCCCGCUGGAAGCCCUACCCUAUCUGACAGUGAGACAGCUCUCAGAGGUGUCCUCCACCCCAGGACUGCUAACCACGCCCGACCAGGUUAACAUGGUGUUGGGCAAUGUCCCCAGCUCUCAGCUGGACGCCUUCUUUGACUACGUCUCACCUGCAAUAAUGGGUCAAGAGGAUCGCUUCCCCUCCCCGGUCAGGGCAGCCAUGUUACAGCAAGUGUUUGACCGCGCCAACCUCUCCGAAACCCGCGGUGAGCGAUGCGGAGGUGCUGGUCUGGCUCAACGACAGACUGCGCCCCCUGUUGGUGGACUUGUCUCCGUCCCACGUCGCCCCCUUCUUCAGUCUGGUGGCCGGGAGGAAACUGCAGUACAGAACAAGAUGGAGUGGGGAUCCUGA